rnacentral:lncRNA from 1 species
CUCUAAUCCUCCUUCGCUCUCCAUCUCGCUACUAUCUAGAUCUACUCUAGUUUAGAGAAGGGAGGAGAGCUCUCAUCUCUAAACCCUAGCUUUUGUUCUGUCUAUGAAUAAUGAAUAAUGAUCAAGGGGUGCCUCCUCCAGGGGCCAGGGGGUCUGGUUAUAUAGUCCCCUCAAGUGAACCUGGGCCGUUGGAUCAAACCGACAUUGAUUGAACGGUUAUUCUUGAUCCUUUAGGUCAGUGGAGAUCUCCCGAGAGAAAGAGUCCUGAUUGGGCUCCAAGUCAGGGCGGGCGCCCAGGGCAGGAGGGCGGGCGCCCUGCCUCUAGCCCCGUUCGACCUCCGCUUCCUUCCCGUGGCUUCUGGAGUCUUCUAGAUGUAAGAUAAUUGCGCGGCACGUUAAUAUCUCUAUGUAAUCCCGACGUGUGGGCCUUUCUUCCGUAUUUCCUGAUAACCCCCUGCAGAAAUAGACAAACACCAAAACUCGUGGAAUUCUGUCAGAUAAAACCCUAAGUCUAGAUGUUGAUUUCAUUUGGAUCUUUUUCUUUGUUUAUUUGAUAAUUAAAUUUGAUACUUAAGGACCGUCAACAAACUUCCCCAAGCUUACCUCUUGCUCGUCCCUGAGCAAAGAUAGACUCAGCAAUGGAUCAGAAGUUGUUGCAAUAUCUUAAAAAUUUGACGGUACACAUGCUUUUAAAUAAGAUCUCAUCUCUGAGUUAGAGUAAACUGUCAAGAACUAAAACUUACUUACUUUACCUUUCACCAUGGGACUUGUAACCGUCACUUCUAUCUUGAGUAGUUAAAAGAUAGAACAGCCUAGCCAAGUGCCAUGUCUCUUAUUCUUGAUCAGCUAUAGCUCUGGAGUUUUUGCAAAUUUUCAAAUAAAACUCAGAGAUUCCUUGUAUGACUCUCUAAAUCUCUCUUUUGUGGUAUUUCUGGAUCCUUACCAAGGUAGUGAUGGUAUAUGCCUUCUCUCAAGAUAUGUGGUAUUUGUGGUAUAAGGCAUAGUGACAUUGCCUUCUCUCUCACCCUACUCUAAUAAGGCUUUAAUAUCUGGAGCUCAUAGGUGGGAGAUAAAGUAUACAUACUUACAAGACAUUUAUUGUAUAGUCAAACCAUGGAUCCAAAGAAACAAAUCAAUAAGCCCAAUCAAGAUGUGCAUGUGUGGCGAAUGAAUGGUGUAUGGUGAUGAUGGUGAUAACAAUGGUGAAAGUCUAAUUCUACUUUUGCUCUUUUGAGGGGAUACAUACCUUCCUUGCUUUUUGAAACUUUAUGAGAAGAAUGAGAUGCUCUUCUUUUUCUUUCCUCUCAGGUGGGUAUCUUGUACCCCUAAUUCUACUGUAGGACACUUGUCUAUUUUUACCUCUCGUCUCACUUUUUCUUUCUUUCGAGGUUCCGGGCACUUGCCCCUUUCUAUUUCCUCGUUUAUUUUUUAUUUUUUUUCUUUUUUUCUAUUUUCUUCUUUUUUUUAGAGCACUCAUCUCUUGAGAUAAUAUAGCAAGUGGAAGUAGCAAGAUAACUUGAGCAUUUAUUUCACAAGGGAAAAUAGAAAUAUUUUUGGCUAUUCUCUCCCGGAUUAGGAGUAGAAUAUUUUUGGGUGGUUCUGGAGAUGGACAUGGAUGGAUAUAUGUGGAUGGUACUUCCGGAGUAGAAGUAGCAUAUAUGAGUGAACGUGCAAGUGAAUCUUGAUUUAACCACAUGACAAGCUCCUAGGGGUCUACACAACUUGACCACACUCAAUGCUCAUAAGCAGUAAAUAGUAAAUGUGUGGCUCAAAGUCUAGCAAGCAUGUAUAUAUGGUUGUGGUAGGAAUUUAAACUCUCAUCAUACAGGAACUCAUCAUGCAAUAUUUUAAAGAUUUUUCAAAGAUAAAAUUCUCCAGAAUUCUAGCAUCUCUUGGAACAGAUAAACAACAGCUCAACCUUCCCAUAUCAUAUCCGUUAACAACUUAGAUUUCAGAUCAAGUUUUCAUCCCACAAGUUUAGAUCUAGAGCAAGCUUUAAAUUAUAACAGUUAUGUCUAAACUUGAGAGAGAACUUCAAAUUUGCAAAUUAGGCAGAGCAACUAUUCAUCAUAUCCAUGCUAGAGUUUUAUUAUUAAGAUUCAGAUUAGCAUAGCCACUUUAUUUAUUUAUUAAACAUACUAAGCAAAAGAUAUAUAUAUAUAAGCACAAAAUCUUUAUUUGGUUUUUCAUAGUUUAUGUAUUUUAAUAUUCUAACAUAAUAUAAGUAUAAAGAUAGGUAGAAACACUUCGCGAGAUAAAUGGGGGUGCUCUCUCCAAGCUGAAUUUUGACGUAAUUUCUCUUGAUGUAGCUAGCAGGUGGCAGAGGUGUAUUUGAAAAUCAGCAGCAUUCUGACAGCGAUUAGAAUGUCCUCCGUCUGCUAGUCUUCUUGAUUCUUAAAUUCUGUAGAGCUCAAAUAAAUAACAAAGCUUGUGGAACUAAUUAAGUGUUAGCAUAAAUAUCUAGCCUUCAUCAUGUUGAGCUUCCUCAAUAAAUAUUACUCCCUGUUUUUAUAUUUUUAUUUUAUAAAGCAGAAAAGAAAUAUUUAUUUUAUUUUUAUGCCACCACAGUGAAGGUACUUAUGGGUUUUAUGCCACUCAUAUACUCACAUGGGGCUUAGUAUUUUUUAACAUUUUUAUUUUCUUUUCAAGAUAGCAUGAUUAACUAAUAAUCUAUUUAAGGAAAGUAAGUAACUAAAGGGAAAAGGGAAUGCAGAAAGGAUAAAUAUGGAUAACUACCGAUCUUACCUUUCGGUGAGGGUUCAAUGUUUUAAGUCUUCUUAACAAGACUUCUCACCGUGUUCAUUCUUCAGGUGCGUCAUUUAAUUCAGGUGCGGACCUUGACGUCUGCACCUCUUCGUUUGCCCAACAGUUCGAAGUGCGGCGUUGGCAGUAUCCUGCUCAGUGUGUUUGUGCUCGUAGAUCCAGGUCCUUCACUUGGUAGAGUCUGAGAGUUAUAAAACUCCUCCGUGUUUUGCUCGAAGUGUACCUGCUCAUAGAGACAAGGCAGAGAUCAAGUGCAUCGGUCCUGUUGGUGGAAAACACUAACAGAACCUAAAGUGUAUUUGUUCUUCUCUAACCCUAAGCAUAGUGAGCAAGACAAAGUUGAUGGAUGAAAAGUUCAUGAGUGUAGCACUUAUAACAUUUGUCAGAUCAGAUCGCUCAACCUUAUGGAAAGAUAAUCUAUCUAUGUAUAUGUCUUUUUCUUUAUAUCUCUCAAUGAUUGAAUGUGUAACAUUUUAGCUCAUAUGAUUAGGUGUGUGGGAUCAUGGAGGUAGUACUAAGAACAAGGAUUAAAGGACUAAACAUGUUGAAUCAGUUGGGUUGGUUAAUCUAGAGUUGUAAAUCAUACAUGUUUGUCUCUUUUAUUUAUAUGAACGCCAGAACCAAGAAGAAGCUUAUAAAGGUGAUAGUCAAGUACCUUAAGAUGUUACCUUGCUUGAAGAGUGAUGGUACAGUAUCACCUUGUGGAAGCUUUCCUUUCUUAGCGGUUGUGCAUCGUGUUUGUGGC